AUUCAUUUUCAUGUUAAUGCCUAGGAAGUGAACAUUUAACUCAUAGUUUCACCUCUUGGUGCAGAGUUCGUGGUUCAUUUACUAGACAAAACGAUUGCAAGGUAACACUUUAUUUAGUGCUUAAUGUGAUUAGAGACUUGCUUAGAGGAUCAUUCUUCUAUCUGGGUUCAUUUGCAUGAAUGUCUAAAUGAUGUGGUGGUAUGAUUAAUUAGAAGGCAUCACAGGCAUCACAUUAAUACUGAAAGUUGUCAUAACUUCACUAUAGAAGAAUAUUUUUAAUUGCAAUGGCUGUUCAGAGCAUGGUUUAGUGCUGGAUGGUUUAACUGUUCUAAGCAAAAUUAUGAUUAUAUAGGGUUAAGCUAUCACUCUCCAUUAGUUGUUUAUGGUGUUACAUACUAACAACAUUUAUAAAGAUAGAGAGAUCUGUGUUAACUAAGUAGCAUGUGUGCGACUAAAGGGGAGUUGUGGCAAGUUGCAUAAGUCUUUGGUACAUCUGGACUGAAACUAGGAAAUUAGAGUUUCAGAUGCCGAACCUGAAAAGGGUUUAGUCUACAAGGAUGCAAGAAGCUUUAUCUUCUUAAAGUAGUUCAUAAAGAUUUAUAAAGUUUGAGUUCUGCCCAACUGAUGGUUUCUCAAUAAGAUAUUACCAAAAUAGUUUUUAGUGCAAAGGUUGUAAAUAUGCCCAUUUAAAUAACAGUAAGAAGAAAUUGAGCAGAUGAUGGAUUUAUAUUUUGAAAUUUCAGAAUCUUAAUAUUUUAAAAUGUGCAUGCAUGUGCGAAAACUGAAUAAACAUUGAGAUCCAGCAUUUUCUUUUUAAACUUGAUAACUAAUCAGAUAGAUAGUGUUUAACAGUGGGAGAAAAUAUGAUAAUUUUUUGUAAGUUUUGGUUCUGCUUAUAUCUUCGUCCCAGCAGCUGGUUUACCAUUGCAAUUCCAGUUUGGGGUGCUCUUGAAAUGUAUUUCUUCUCAAAUUCAUUUAUGUAUUCACAUCUUCUUAGGAGCUAUAUUUGUCAAAAGCCUUUUUAAUGGCUUAUGUCUUUAUAUAGCAUGCUUCCUAUGACUGCUUACUCUUUUUAAAGUGAUAUUCUUAAAUUCAAA
rnacentral:misc_RNA from 1 species